rnacentral:misc_RNA from 1 species
UGGCUCUCGCAUCGAUGAAGAACGCAGCGAAAUGUGAUAAGUAAUGUGAAUUGCAGAAUUCAGUGAAUCAUCGAAUCUUUGAACGCACCUUGCGCUCUAUGGUAUUCCGUAGAGCAUGUCUGUUUGAGUGUCAUGAAUUCUUCAACCCCUCAAUUUUUAUAAUUGUCAUGGGAGUUUGGAUUUUGAACGUUUUGCUUUCUUCAUUGAAAGCUCGUUCGUAAUACAUUAGCAUUCCAGUUCUCUCGAUUGGCUUGACUUGGCGUAAUAGAAUAUUCGCUGAGGACACUUUGUAUCAAAGUGGCCAAACUAGAAAAGUGGACGCUUCUAAUUCAAUUUUUCUAUUUAGACCUCAAAUCAGGCAGGAUUACCCGCUGA